GAUCGGCCGGGGCAUUGCCCGCAAUCCAUAGGUCUCGCUCAAAAUCUCGCCCUCACGCUCCUUAUCCAGUUAUCCUUGUACGCCUAAUCCCUGGUGGCCUAAUAGUUUACCUACUCCUGAAUGAGUGAGCCUAGCCCCCUCGUUUUCCAAGCUUGAAUUCUGGCCGCGGACAUGUCUUCUCUUGCGCCUGCGGGGGUGAAUCAGGAAGGAGAGGAGAAACCUACUUCGGAAGAGAAGAAUGCGGAGGGUUCCACUUCCCAGCCGCAAGCAGGGCGAAGAAGGGUACCGUCAGCACCAACGCCGGAAUUUCCUGCAAACGCUUUUGACUUCUCUUCUAUGGCUGGCCUCCUUAACGACCCAUCCAUAAAAGAAUUAGCACAACAAAUAGCCAAGGAUCCUGUAUUUACCCAUAUGGCAGAGCAACUGCAGAAAACUGUGCAAGGUGUGGGUCAAGAUGGCACUCCUCAGUUGGACACCCAGCGGUACAUAUCAACCAUGCAGCAGGUUAUGCAAAAUCCUCAAUUUAUGACAAUGGCUGAGCGUCUUGGAACUGCUUUGAUGCAGGACCCAGGUCUGUCUAGCAUGUUGGAGAGUUUGACAAAUCCCUCUCGAAAGGAGCAACUUGAAGAGCAUAUGACGCGCAUCAAGAAAGACCCAUCACUUAAACCAAUUCUUGAUGAAAUUGAGAGUGGAGGUCCAGCUGCGAUGAUGAAGUACUGGAAUGAUCCUGAUAUUCUACAAAAACUAGGCCAUGCCAUGGGCAUUGGGACUUCAGGGGAAGGUGAAGCUUCGGUGGAACGGUCUGUUGCUGAAGAAGUACAAGAAGAAAGUGGCUAUGAGGAUGAGUCAAUUGUUCAUCACACUGCUAGUAUUGGUGAUGUGGAGGGUCUGAAGAAUGCCCUUGCUGCUGGAGCAGACAAGAAUGAAGAAGAUUCAGAAGGAAGAACAGCUUUGCAUUUUGCUUGCGGAUAUGGCGAGGUGAAGUGUGCUCAAGUCCUCCUUGAGGCUGGGGCCUUGGUUGACGCACUGGACAAGAACAAAAACACUGCUCUUCAUUAUGCUGCUGGUUACGGACGAAAGGAGUGUGUGGAACUUCUGCUAGAGAAUGGUGCUGCUGUGUAGGUUUUCCUGCAAAAGAUCACCCUGCAAAAUCUGGAUGGGAAAACCCCUGUUGAUGUCGCUAAACUGAACAACCAGGAGGAGGUACUCAAACUGCUUGAAAAGUUUGCAUUCUUGUGAUCCAGGCCUAUGAAAGAGGCAAGUUUUCUCUGUUCGAAAUCUGCUAGUGGUCUGUGUUGUGUGCAAUGGACUUCAGUCAGACUGUUUUUGAGUGAUGAUCACAUUUCUUCCCCUGAGUUCAUUUUCACUGCCACCAUGUUAUUUUUUUUCCUUGUUAAGUGAUGAUUCAUCAUUAAUUAUCUCUUAGCAAAUAUGUUUAGAUAUUAUGCACCCUCUCUCAAACUCUGAUGAACUUGCCAUCAAAAUUCGGAAGCACACGCAUCAUGUUGGGAUAGUUUCUACUGUCGUACAUUUUUCUGCCUGAAAAGAAUAUAAGUGAACAUACUUUCCGUGAAAACCAUAUUUUCUGUUGUUUAGUUUGUACUCGGGAGAAUUUUGUUUAAUAUGCGCAUUUCUGAGGUUGACACAACUUGUUUCAAUGGGAAGUUGUUAUGUAACUUUGUAUUUUUUUCUACCUAAGGGUACAUUUUGUCUAUGAAAACGAUAUAUUCUGAUGUUAAGUAUGGACUCUGGAGUACUUGGUUUAAAAUGUGCUAACAUGUGUGCAUUUCUGAGCUUGAUGCAACCUGCGUCAACUGGCAGUUGAAGUUGAUCGUUCCGCAUGUUGCAAACAAAAUCUAAGGGUGGUUGCGUGAGGAUUUCAAUAAAUCUAUAUCAGCACUUGAAUGACAUGUUGGCACACCCAGCUGGCAAAGCCAUGUCACCUAAUGAGGGAAGGCCAACAUGGAGGAUGGUAGAUGACGUAGCCAACAUUAGGUGGCAUGGCUUUGGCAGCUGAGCAUGCAAACAUGUCAUUCAAGUGCUAACAUAGACUUUUCGGUGCUCAACUCAUCAUAAUUUGGUCGGGAAUGCCUCGGGUAACUAUGCUGUGAAACA